GAUUGCAAAAUGUCCUCUUGGUCUGAAGCUAUACGUAGCCUUGUUCAUAAACUGAAUAACUUUUCUCGCCCAGGUUCCUGUAAGUCCCUUUGCAAACCAUUCCUUGUUGAUGGUGUCCAAGUGGGUUAUAUUUCACCAAAAAUUGCCAGUUAUUUAAAGUCUUAUGAUGAAGUAUUUGAAAUGGUUCCGGGAACCAGUGGUGAAAUACGUCAUGUUACUUUGGCUCCAGGACUUAAGACUUUUACAGAAAGAAGUCAAAAGGUUGCUGAGGUUAUGAACAGUCUGAGAUUAAAAGAUGUGUUCAGCACUUUAAGAGGAUGGAGAAAUGAGAUGUACCCUGUGAUGGCUUCCUUUGAUACCAAACCAUGCUUUAUGAUGGAAAGGUCAGCAACUUUAAACAACACUGAUUGCACUGGGAAGAAUAAUCAACCAGAAGAGGUAAAAGGGAAAGAGAAGUUCACACUGGGAGGAGGGGCACUGGGCUACAAAGCAAGAGGAGAAACAAGUUUGCUAGGAACUGUGCAGUAUGGUGUUCAUGUGAAUGGAUAUUGUAUAGAUGAAAAUGGGAAAAUGUUAAUGUGGAUAGCAAGAAGAAGUCCUACAAAACAAACCUGGCCUGGCAAACUUGAUCAGAUUGUGGCAGGAGGUAUAAUCUGUGGUGAAGGAAUUCAGGAGACACUUAUAAGAGAAUGUGCAGAAGAGGCAUCAAUACCACAAGAACUUGCUAAAGCAGCUUCUUCAGCUGGUUGUGUCAGCUACUUCUUUGAGGAUGAGAGAGGAUUGUUUCCUGAAGUCCAGUUUGUUUGGGAUUUGAAGCUGCCUCGUGAUUUUCAACCAAUCAACAGUGAUGGGGAAGUUGGUGAAUUUUAUUGCUGGCCUAUGGCCAAGGUACAUGUAGUGUGUGAAGGCAAGAAUAGCAACUGAGGAAUUUAAGCCUAACUGCGCUCUUGUAGUUCUUGACUUUAUGGUCCGUCAUGGCUUUGUUACACCAGACAGUGAACCUCAUUUUGUUGAAUUUGUUCUUGGUUCUCACAGCAGUCUCCUCUAAUAUGCAAAAUAAAUGAAUAUGCAAAAGUGAACCAUCGUAAUGAGGGCACCCCUAAGUGUACGUAUACAAGGAAGAUAGGAGAAAUGGCAGGGAAAGAAGUACUGGAGUCUUAUAAGAAUCUAUUUGAUCAUCUAUAUGUGUAUUCUUGACUGUUUUUUUUUUUUUACAAAAUAAAGUGGACUUCAGUCCUCACUCUUUAGUGCAGUGAUUUCAAGAGUGUGCGACAUGAGCU